rnacentral:rRNA from 1 species
UACGGAGGGUGCGAGCGUUGUCCGGAAUCAUUGGGCGUAAAGGGUGCGUAGGCGGGUCUUUAAGUCAGGGGUGAAAUCCUGGAGCUCAACUCCAGAACUGCCUUUGAUACUGAAGAUCUUGAGUUCGGGAGAGGUGAGUGGAACUGCGAGUGUAGAGGUGAAAUUCGUAGAUAUUCGCAAGGACACCAGUGGCGAAGGCGGCUCACUGGCCCGAUACUGACGCUGAGGCACGAAAGCGUGGGGAGCAAACGGG